CCCCGACCCCCCUUCUAAGUGAAGAAAAGAAAGUGCCUCAGCAGCCAUGGAGGUCAGCAUGGACUCAGAUGGAUAAACAGUGAACUACACUGAUGAGGCCGAACAUCCAGAAGGGUUUAUUUUGUUGUUUUAAUUGAAGAAAUGAUAAGAGACGG
rnacentral:lncRNA from 1 species